rnacentral:lncRNA from 1 species
AGCAAUGUUGGCAAUACUAAUUCCCCACUUGAAAGUUGGAGCCCAGAAAUGAACUAAAACACACAAAAUGAACAAGCACAAAUCAUCAUCUUCUCUAUUUUUUGAUGUUAAAUGAAACUCUACCUGUUGCAAAAGAGACACAUUCCUUUGUUUCUGUACAUAGUUCACAGAAUUUAUAACAAAAAACGUGGUGACAAUACAACCUCCUCGCCAAAUUUCCAAAGGAGUGUUUUGAAAAAAGGUAAUAGAAAAAAGAAAAGAAAAUCAAAGCCCCCUAGACAAACAGAAAAAGAAGAUAGUACUGAUACAACUCAGCAUACAUCUAAGACGAGUUUUUACUCAUAGUAUCGUACUGACUAGGAUCAGGUACAUGCCCCUCUUUUCUCAAUUUGCAUUCUAAGGUGCUGAGUUUCCAAUCUUGAAGUAUCACAGAUUCAUCCAACCACCUUCUAUCAUUCUAGCCUAUAUGCUAUUCCUGUGCAAAAGAGACACAUUCCUUUGUUUCUGUACAUAGUUCACAGAAUUUAUAACAAAAAACGUGGUGACAAUACAACCUCCUCGCCAAAUUUCCAAAGGAGUGUUUUGAAAAAAGGUAAUAGAAAAAAGAAAAGAAAAUCAAAGCCCCCUAGACAAACAGAAAAGGAAGAUAGUACUGAUACAACUCAGCAUACAUCUAAGACGAGUUUUUACUCAUAGUAUCGUACUGACUAGGAUCAGGUACAUGCCCCUCUUUUCUCAAUUUGCAUUCUACUCUAUUAAGGUGCUGAGUUUCCAAUCUUGAAGUAUCACAGAUUCAUCCAACCACCUUCUAUCAUUCUAGCCUAUAUGCUAUUCCUGUGAAACUCCUAUUUUUCCAGCUUGAUAGAGCAUCCACAUAACAAUAAUACAAUAGAACCCCACUGCAAGGUAAAGUUCUACUACCUCUAGCUGGAUUUUGCUGACAGACGACUCAUUGCAGUUGCUACCAUUUGCCUUUACGAUCAUGCCUUUGCAAUUAAAAACUUUUGGAUAGAUCUCAAAUUAAAUCGACUACCUUAUCUCGCCUGAAUUUGAGAACCUACUCGCUACAUUAUUAGUCAGAAAACUCAAACUUCCUCUGAUACUAGAAUUGGGGCGGCUUGUCGAUUUAUUGCCUCCAUUCGAACAUACAGCACUGAAACGACCUAAUAAUCCACAUAAGAUAGCUAUUAAGAACCCGAACCCCAAUCCAAAACAUCCUAAAAAAUUGAAUCUUUCUCCCACCUGGAGAAAACCCAAAACUAAUUUACACAAAAUAAUCCAUCCCAUCUGCCAAGUAUUGAUGUUAGGGAACUACAAAAGCAUCAAAACGAGAUGCAAAGAAGAUUCAAAAGAAUUGGGAAAUUGACUGCAGAGAAUAUCAAGAAGAUCCAAAUCCAACGCAUGAAAGCCAACAUAGGUAAAUGGCAUAAAGAGAGAAGAGAUGAAAGAACAGAC